AGAGAGAGAGAGAGAGAGAGAGAGAGAGAAAGAGAGAGAGAGAAAGAGAGAGAGAGAGAGAGAGAAAGUGAUGAACAUUCUGCAUUCAUUCAAACAUUACCAGCUCUGGAUCAUGUCCAAUUCUUUAAAAUAAUAUUACUUUAAAUCUUUAUUUAUUAAAUGAACAAUUCAAUAUUUAUUACGAUGAUAAGAACUAAUAAAGAUAAUAAUAUAAUAAUAAGAAAUAAAGAAUACAAAUAAAUUAGAAUAAAACCCAAAUAACAACAACAUUGUUUCUUUUCUUCUGCAGGUUUGGGUACUAAACAGCAGCAGGUAUUCUGUGGCCGUUAGAGAAGAAAGACAGAAAUGUUCUUUAUCCGUUUAUUUCUGUGCGUGUGUUUAAACCUGCUAAUGAGCGACACGUGCAGUUUUAUGCUAACGAGAGAACAUCCUCCUGUAACGGUGAGUGUUUCCUCUGCAGCUUUCCGAGCCACUGGAUGAAUAACGAUGCGGUCUGAGGUUCGCUUUCUCUGAUAAACGCCGCUUUUUCUGUUGAUUUGUGUUUUUUAUGCAAGUUUCAGCUUCAGAUUUCUACAUUAAAGGUUUCGUUUCGGUUCUCGGAUGAACGCCUGCAUUUUAAAGCUUCUAUUAAACUCGAGGCGUUUUAAUGACUUCCGUAUAAACGGAGAACAGAAUUACGGAGGAGGAAAAGAAGGAACUCGUUCAGCUGCUCCUUCCUCACUCAACAGCUAAUCAACCCUGUAGUCCAACUGGCAGCGAGCGUGUGUGUGUGUGUGUGUGUGUGUGUGUGUGUGUGUGUGUGUGUGUGUGUGUGAGCAUGAAUGUGUGUUUUGGCAAGGUUGCUGUAUGAAGUCUGGCCUCCUAAGUGUAACAGACAAAAAGAGAGUGGGAGGGACUGCAGGCGAGAGAGAUCAAGAGUUAGAGAGAGACAGAGACUCAGACAGGUAGUGUGUGUGUGUGUGUGUGUGUGUGUGUGUGUGUGUGUGUGUGUGUGUGUGUGUGUGUGUGUGAGAGAGAGGGAGAC